CACACCUGCUUGCAGAACCGCAGGAACCCAAUGGAGUACGUCUUUCCCCAGAGGCAGCAGGUGCCAUACAUACAGCUGGACCUGGAAGAGACCACAGAGGAGAUGGACGGGUCAACAGACGGCAGAACUCUGAGCAGCAACGAAGUGAAAGACCAGUCACAGCAGCAACAGAGAGCCCUGAGGGACAGGAGAACCGCACCGUGAACAGAACACUCCGUUUUAACCAAAACCAGGCGGGACCAGUCGCAUUGCUUGGGAUGCUGCGCGCUGCUCUCACUCUACAGCAUGCACAUGACGACCUCAGAAGUCAGCUCCGUGGGGAGACGGGAGGACGGGAGGUUAGGGUGGGCACGGAGGGGCCUUGGGGUAGCUGGCCGUGUGCCCGCUCUGUGGUUCAACCAGGUACUGGCUUUAGAAUUCAUCCUAUGCUCUUUUCUAUUGUGUUAUGGACCACGAAUUUACAGCAAAACAACAAUAAAACAUUCUCCGGGGGGCUCUCAGGAGACAUUCUAAGCAAGAAUGAGACGGCAGCACCUCCGUUCGCUCACAACCUGCAGUGCUCCUGAGUCUGCACUAAACACAGGAGAGGUGCGGAAAGAGGCACACAUGUCUUGAGAAGCUGGGUCAGCUCGUUCUGAGUCCGGACGCGACUGGACAUCCCCACAAAGAUAGAAUCUGCGAGAGCGACCGCCCGCCGGCAGAGAACCCUGAUGACGUGCAGACGCUGUGCAGACCUCAACACGAAAGCCUGGCGACACAGUCGGUGGCGAACGGUGGCCUUCAACUUGGAAAGGAAGAUAUCUGGGUGCUUUUUGCCACUCACAGCUGCUCUAACCUAUGAAGGGCUCAUGUCUCCAGCUGGGGUGAGGGCCCCAGGGAGCACCCUCUAUGAACACAACCAUAGCACCUACCACACUGCGCUGGGACUAUCCCUCAGCAGACACAGAGCAGAGGGGUUGCCGCCUGGGUCUGCCACUGGGUUAGCUGUGAGCCUGUUUCCUCAUCUGUUAAAUGGGGACGGGAGUCCCUACCUUCACAGGAGGCUGCGAGGUUGAAGUGAGUAUGCAAAGUGUUCGGACGAGCGGGCAGCACUCAGCAGCGCUGCGUGUCGGCUGCUACCUGCCUGCCUCCCUCGGGGCCAGCAUCCCGGGAUGGGAUGGGGACCCUGUGUGCUGCCGGCCCGGCACAGGAGCAGCUCAGGAUGUCUGGUGACUGCAGGCAUCCCCACUGAUCACUCAACGACAAGAACUACUUUGGGGUACGGGGAGGGGGCAUCUAGCCAAAUCUGACGUCAGCCUGCUAAUGGCCUUUGUCCAAACCCACACGAGGCCACGUGGAAUGGAUGUGUCCAUCCCAGGCUGGGUCCAGCCAUAUUGUGGGCGAUGGUUAUUUUCCAAAGACGGCCACACCCUCUGACACUGACACAACCGCUGCAUACGGUGGACCGGGUGGCGCAGAAGCGAUGCUUCGUGACAUCUGACACUGGGAUCAGAAGCCUCUUUCCUCUGUUCUUUCCCGAGACGCCUGCCCUUGGAUCCAGUCACCGUGUGGGAAGCCCAGGCUGACCCCCACGUGGGAGGAAUCGAGAGCCCAACAGACACCAGCACCCACUGCCAGACACACGAGUGAGUCAGAUUCCAGAUGAAUCUGCCCCGGCCGAGACCCCGCUACCACGGGCAGGGGCACACCAUGCCCACGUGCGUCCCGAUGCCUGCCCGGCACUGUCAGCAGAAGCAGACGGUUGUUUCACACGUGGCUGUUUGGGAUCGUUACCUACACAGCCAUGUGAGUAGAACCUAGACAUAAAACCACCUGUGGCGUUCCCAGGGCGUGCACGCUCCUCACGCGUCCCGAGGCCACAUAUUCUGGUCCCUCUGCCUCCCAGAGGGAGCCGCUGAGAUGCCGCCUUCUCCUUGGUGGCCUCCUCUGUCCUGUUGCCAUGCUCACUUCCCACACGGUGAGCUCUCUGCCCAUCCGCCUGAAACUUCCAGUACAAGCAGCAGCGAAGUGGCAGGAAAGCCAUGAACGCCGAGCCAGCCCUCCUGGGUGUGGGCGUGGUCCUACCAUUUGGAGCUGUAAACAUGGCCACAUAUUCUGGCUACACUCUCUCCACCAAGAUGUUUCAUUUGGGCCCAGGUUCCAGGGGCUCAGAGCAGCAGGGCAGGCAGCCAUGCCCACACUCAGUUCUGUGCUCCAGUUUGCACUCUCACGGGAUGCUGAACAGAUUUCCCCAAGGUGAUCAGAAUUCCAGGCCCGAAAGACAAAACCCUCCAGGGAACCCCCAGGGGCCGAAGUUCAUCAGCCCCUCCACACGGAACCGCCCUCGCAAGCCAGGCCUCCUGCCAUCCACGGAGAAGAGCCUGGCGCCUGAGCUCACAUCCUUUCCUGUAUCACAUACGUCCGCAUGCAGCCAAGCUCUGUGCUCAGCUGGUCAGAACUGUCAAAUCUCAUCCAUCUCUCAGCUCAAGAUUCUCGACCUUUUACCAGUGCUCUGUCCAGCGAGUCUGUGUAACACCAAGUUGGUGACGAUGUCUGUCAAAGAAUCAUGAGUGAGUCGAUAACACGCUCUCAGAGAAGGGAGGCAAGACAGACUGUCUUCCAGAUGGUCCAACCAGCCCACACCAGGACCAUCUGGACAAGCCAAUCCCUCACCGGAGAGUUCCAGAGCCACCCCAGCACCCGGCCAGGGUGUUCACAAUGACAAGUCAACACACCCCAGGAACCAACACGAAGAUAUGCUGCCCUGGGCAUCGGGAAAGCACAGCAGAUUCGCAGUGAGGUUCUCAGCCAGCGGCCUUGUUGCCUGACUUCCCCCUGACCAUGGCUUCAGUUCUGGCCCCUGGGAGGCCUCAGAGAAACAGAGUAACUCUAUGCCCCCUAAAUGUUCGCUACAGCCUCUGUGCUGGGCUCUGUGCUGGGCCCUGGGGACACAGAAAUGACCAAGGAUCCCACAGACAAGGCCCUCCCGUGUGAAGCAGGGCGUCCAGAAUGAGGGAAGGGAUGGUGUCUGUUUGUCUGUCUGUCUCAGUCUCCUGCUCUGGAGAGUGAGGUACCGGAACUUUGGGCUCCAUCCUAGGCACCUAGAGAACUGCACACAGUCAGGAGAGCAGGACAGGGUGGAGAUGAAAUGAGGGUUGUCCUGGGUCCUUGAGGCCUGGAGGGAAGACACUGGCACUCACCCUCUUCAUCUGUGUGCCAGUGACCUUGUCCAGAAGGUCAGACAGGACCCGCUUAGUCCCAGGAGUGGAUCCUACGACCUCUGCUCAGUGUAAGAAACUAUUCCUAAGAGGCAGUCUUCAGAGGGGCAAGGUAGUGAGCUCUCUGCUAGUGGAAGCAUGCAAUCAGAGUUCGCUCGGCCCUUCCACACGGGCCACACCCAGGGCAUGGCAGCCCCUUAACAGGCAUUAACUAUAAAGGGUCUGAGCAGCUGACACUUUACAGGUCCCUCCUUCCCAACCCCGAGAUGCCCGACUGACUUUCCCUCCAACCGGAGCAGCCGGGAAAGGAAGCUGUCCUCCUAGAGACUGUUCUCCACCCGCCCCCCUCAUCCCCGCCCCCUCCCGGACAACUGCAACAGCACAGCCUUGGGGGCCCCCAAGGCUUCACGAGGGGCUCCCCGACAAGUGCACUCAGCAGCCUCUGCCAGCAGCCCCCGGGGCAGGCGUCCUCAUCAGCUCCCCCCUCCCCCACUACAGGUAAGUGAGGCACCGUCUGCUCCACAGACACUCCCUGGGUCCCGUUCUGUGCCCUGGGUGCACCUGGCCAUCGCCAGCUCACUCCUCCCCGCGCCUUCCACACCGAAAGCAGCCCCGGGGCCUCGCUGUCCUUGCUACACAGACACCGUUAUUUGGAAAGACCCGGGCAUUCGUAUUUCAGAUAACUCACGGAUGAGCCCGGGAAACUCAGUUUUGACCACUUGGGACAGAAAUCUUCCCUGCUCAGUAAAGAGGGCCUCAGGACUUUCUUUCCUUUUUUCAGGGACUGAUGAUCACUGCGGACAAUAAUGGGCACAGUGCACUACAGCCAGGGCGACGGGCUCUGCCCGACACGAAAGGCCCCGGGAUGCUGCCAGGCGGGUCCUUCCCUCCCACCCCCCAUGCCAUGUCUGUCCUUUGCUGGUCCUGCUUCCUGCCACCUGGAAUGCCCUUUCUCUCUCUCAGGACCUCUGCUGGUUCCUUCUGCAAACCUCUUUAUUCUGAUCAGAGCUCCUGUGAGUCCUGGCAGCACAUGGCCCUGCCGGCCUUCUGUGGCGUGUCUGCGGCCCUCGGCCAGGUUCAUUCUGGCUACACUCUCUCCACCAAGAUGUUUCAUUUGGGGCCAGGUUCCAGGAAGCGAACCUUGUCCAAAAUCUGAAACUGGGUGAAUGAAGCGUCAUUCUUUAAUUGUUUCAUCCAGGCCUGUAAAACCUCUUCCCCUGACAAGAGUUCAUAUUUUUCGCUGAGAAACUCAUCCUGUGUUCCUUCACCAAGCCUGGCACAGGGCAACCCCGGGCCUGGGAGCCCCAGGCGAGCCUGGCGUCCAGCAAGCACCUGGGAAAUCCUGGGCCAGUUUCUUAGCCUCUCAAAUUCCUUCCCACGGUUGUAAAAUGGGGGUGAUAUGUAUUCCUCCGGGUAACUGGGAGGUGAGAAUGAGCUAAGCCUAACGAAAAAUAGGUGGUAAAGCUGUGAGCCCACACCAUCGUUACUGGGAAAACAGUGCUGCAUAAAGCAAUGGGAAGCCCUCUCCUCUGCACCCUGGCCUCCUGCACCCCUGGAUCAGCUCCCCAGCUCCUCAGGCUGCCUCAGAGUUGUCUCUAGGAGCUACCUCCCACGCCGACCACAAUCAAACACUAAAUGCCGGGAAGGGGCUGGUUUCCCGCUACUCCAGCCUGGCGCUGCCGUGAGAACCGCGGUGUGAGUUACAGCCCUCACCAGAUGGUAGGUACUCGGUCAGAGGGACCCUGGGCUAGCCAUGUACUUCUCUGAGACUCGCCCUCUCCUUGGAAAAUGGCAAUAUGACCACCCACUCAAGCUGUUUAUCUCCUCUCCCCCUCCCCCUCCCCCCAGAAUGCCACUAAGAUGAGAAUGAAUCGGUGGAAAAGUACAAGCCUUCAAGGACAAGGAGAUGGCACCGGAGGCAGCCGACAGCAAUGCUGACAAAAGCUCUGAGAUGCAGCAUGGUCAGCGUGACCUCUGACCGGGAGGGCCCAGGACUGCGGGGGAAGGUGCAGGUGGAAAACAUGGCUGCAAGUCCGCGCGGCCUUUACUUUCCUGGCCGGUGGGGCAGCUCCUUCCUCAGAGAACUCAGCUCAGCCGAGGGCAGCAACACGGACACUUGCAGAAAACAGAUGAGGUCUGAAUGCGAAGCGCGAGGUGUCUAGGUCCCUUCCCCCAACUGCACCCUUAACUCAGCGUGCCCAGCUUUCACCACCCGGAGAACAUUAGUAUCUGAGGAAACAGGCCCAGGAUAAAAAAAUCUUCAUCGAGUGCCUGUCCCCACCACUGCGUAAAAACGGCACAGGAAAACCAUGUCCUGUCACCCAACUGGGAGCCGGCAGUGUAAGCCCCGUUCUUCAAUACAAAUAGCCAAGGACACCAGACACUUGAGGAGCGCUUCCAACACAAAGGUCAAAGGCCAAGACAAACAAACAGGGAAGUCAGGAGACCGAGAUAAUGCAGGAAACAGAAGAAAAUUGCAAUUAGCGUCCCGGGAAGGGGAGAUACUCUCUCCCACACCAAGCACAAGGGACUAUAAAAUAGAACAGGAAAGAGCGCCUGACGCUUUACAACACGAUAAAGAAAACAAAACCUUCCGUAGGAAAGCUCAAAGGUAAAUAUUUAAAAUAAAAUUUAAAAGCUCCUGGGAAAUAGUACAAAAGAAACCAUAAAGAAAACUUAAAGGUCAAUCCAGAAGUGCAACAUCCUACCAACAGGAAUUCCGGAAAGGAGGAAUAAACGGGGGGGGGGGGGGGGGGG